CCUACGGGUGGCAGCAGUAGGGAAUCUUCCACAAUGGGCGAAAGCCUGAUGGAGCAACGCCGCGUGGGUGAAGAAGGUCUUCGGAACGUAAAACCCUGUUGUUAGAGAAGAAAGUGCGUGAGAGUAACUGUUCACGUUUCGACGGUAUCUAACCAGAAAGCCACGGCUAACUACGUGCCAGCAGCCGCGGUAAUACGUAGGUGACAAGCGUUAUCCGGAUUUGUUGGGCGAAAGGGGAACGCAGGCGGUCUUUUAAGUCUGAUGUGAAAGCCGGCGGCUCAACCGGAGUAGUGCAUUGGAAACUGGGAGACUUGAGUGCAGGAGAGGAGAGUGGAACUCCUAGUGUAGCGGUGAAAUGCGUAGAUAUAAGGAGGAACACCAGUGGCGAAAGCGGCUUACUGGACUGUAACUGACGUUGAGGCUCGAAAGCGUGGGUAGCAAACAGGAUUAGAUACCCGGGUAGUC
rnacentral:rRNA from 1 species